rnacentral:rRNA from 1 species
AAGGCUGAAAUUCGCCUUCAUGAAGCCGGAAUUGCUAGUAAUGGCAGGUCAGCAUACUGCCGUGAAUACGUUCCCGGGCCUUGUACACACCGCCCGUCACACCAUGAGAGUUGGGAAUACCCGAAGCCUGUGAGCUAACCUUACGAGGCAGCAGUCGAAGGUAGAAUCAAUGAUUGGGGUGAAGUCGUAACAAGGUAUC